AGGCAUAGUUCAAUGGUAGAACGCGAGCUUCCCAAGCUUGUGAUGCGGGUUCGAUUCCCGUUGCCUG
rnacentral:tRNA from 1 species